GAUAAAUGCAGUCAUCUUGCUGUAACACUUCAGUGAGAUGUCAGUCAUGCUUCCAGAGAGGCAACCAACAGGAAUGCACACAUAUGUAUACUGCCCUCACACAAAUUUAUACCAUAUAAAAAUGAACUGAAAGAAGUGGCCCAGUGAAGUGGUUGAGUCACUAUCGUUGGAGGUUUUUAAAAGGUUCUUGGUGUGCCUACUCUUAUACCAGUGGUGAAGAGCUGCACCCACAGCUUCAUCAGCAACUAUGGUUCCUCUCCUCUAACCUCUGUAUCUCAAGAUAUCUGAAUGUGGAACUGUUCAGUAGUGCUUCCUCCUUGGUUUCAUGAUGACAUCUAUUCUUUCCAAAGAUGUGAUAAUCCAUUGUCAAGAACAUAAAAGGCUCUCCUAUAAUAUUUUGUGUGCAAGCAGCAGACUGACUGUCCAUUGCUACAUCAUGCCAUUUUGAAAAACUGUAGGUGUAGCAAUCUGCAGUGGCAGUGUGAGGAUGGAAAACUGGGGACCAUUUACCACUUGCUGCCAAGAGGUGUAUCUGUCCUCUCUCCUGUCUCUCUGAUGCUGUGGAUUGAUAGCACCAGCCAUGCCUGCCUACACCAGUUGAAGAACUUACUGCUUUUCUUCUGAAUACAGACUGUAGAUGUGCUUCUUCAGCCCCUUUGGAGAUAGAAGACAUGAUCAUGUCUCUGAAUCACAGACUACUGGAGGCUGUGAGAACGCACAGAACUUAUAUAUUCUAUGCUUGCCUUGUUUGUAUGCUCUCCCCAUGGCACCUGCUAAUCAUCACUGUUGGGAAUUGAACACUAAAAUUCUAAAGAGGAUAAAGAGGUCGUGGGUUUUACCUGUUAUGGCUGUUCUUACUGUUUAUUUCUAUAUGGCUCCAGGAAGACAGCAGCUACUCUGCAGCUUGUCAUUCAGUAGGGACAUACUUUUCACUUUUCUGGCCAUGUGCAGUCAAGAAGAGGGAGAAGCUAAAGAAAUAUGUAAAAGUGUGAAGAAAAGUAUUUGGCCUUUCCACAUAAACAUACAAGAGAGAAAGACAAUGAAAGCAGGGAAUACAAUGAAAAGGUAGGAUAGAUGGCUUUUCACUGAUAGAGAAAGAGCAAAAGAGCAAAGAAUCUAUUAGUAAGGCAAGGCACAAAUGGAGGAAGACACUAUAUCAAAGGGAAGAAGCCAGUACUGUAGCAAACUAUAGUAAAAACAAUAAAAAAUGUUUACAUAGGAUUUUAAGAACAAAUAGAGAUGGCAAAAUCCGAAAUUUAUUUUUUAAAUUUUAAAAUUUUUAGAA